rnacentral:misc_RNA from 1 species
GUGAAUGGAAAUACGGAGACAGGGACUACGGAUGGUGCUGGUGUUAAUAAUAGGGAGUCUUCUUACCAAAGAUAUGAUAUACAGCAAGCGGCCAGGUGGAUUGAGCAAAUUAUUCCGUUCUCUUUGCUUUUGUUGAUUGUUUUCAUUCGGCAACAUUUGCAAGGUUUUUUUGUUACAAUUUUGAUUGCUGCUGUCAUGUUCAAGUCAAAUGAUAUUGUAAAGAAGCAGACUGCACUUAAGGGUGAGAGGAAAAUCUCUAUUCUGAUCGGCAUAUGUAUUCUGUUCAGCAGUUAUUUAUUUGGGUUUUAUUGGUGGUACCGAAAUGACGAUCUUUUGUCUCCGUUGUUGAUGCUUCCACCAAAGGCCAUACCUCCUUUUUGGCAUGCCAUCUUCAUGAUCAUGGUGAACGAUACUUUGGUCCGCCAGGCGGCAAUGGUUUUCAAAUGUUUUCUUCUGAUGUAUUACAAGAAUAGCAGGGGCCGGAACUACCGUAGGCAGGGUCAAUUGUUAACUUUGGUUGAGUAUCUUUUACUGCUGUAUCGUGCUUUGCUGCCAGCUCCAGUUUGGUAUCGUUUCUUUUUGAACAAGGAGUACGGAAGCCUCUUUUCAUCAUUAAUGACCGGGCUGUAUCUAACUUUCAAGCUCACUUCUGUUGUCGAGAAGGUCCAAUCCUUCUUCACAGCUUUAAAGGCGUUGUCACGUAAGGAGAUUCAUUAUGGAGUAUAUGCGACUUCUGAACAGGUCAAUGCUGCUGGGGAUCUCUGUGCUAUUUGCCAGGAG